AUGUACAAAUUGAAUGGUCAUCCUCUCACCUUCAAACCUUGUGUAAAAAGUAUAAUUAGAUAUAUUUACCUCACUUAUCUCAAUUCCAUACUUCACCUCUUUGUCGCUUUUUAUUCCUCCUUGAUUUUUGCCUCUACUAUAGUCUUGAUUAGUCACCUCCUUCUUCUUUUCAAAAGGCAUUUCUUCAAAUCCACAUAUACAAAAUUGGAAGAAGACUUGUCUUAUCUCUUGGUCAUCUUUUGUAAUCAAAUAGGAGUUUAAUGCAUUUACUAUAACUACCUCCAUCGCUAUUUUCCUCUUUUUUUUGAUGACAUUGAUAAUAAGCUCAUAGAAGUCUUUUUUUAUUAUAUUAAGUUCUUUUC
rnacentral:lncRNA from 1 species